ACAGGAGGGCGACUAGUUCUAUUUCUGAUCAAUACAUAUCAUUCUAAUUCAUGAUAGUUAUAAAAAGCAUCUACAUAUAUAUAUCUCAGCUCCAGAGAAGAUCCAUUGCAGAGCAAGGUUUGAGCUUCAAACAAGUAUUUGAUAUAUAACUUGGUUUGUUUUUUCUGUGCUUCAAUGUCAAACCCUAUGAGUCGUUGGGACCCUUUAAUCGUUCAAAUCGACGAAAAGCUUAGAGCGCCUUCUAAUCACUCAACAUGCAGUAUUUUCAAGGUUCCUAAUCGACUCCGCCAUGUAAACCAAAGGGCAUUUGAGCCGGAAAUCCUCUCCAUCGGCCCUUAUCAUCGUGGAAAAGAUAAAUUGAAGAUGAUGGAAGAA